GACGAACGCUGGCGGCGUGCCUAAUACAUGCAAGUCGAGCGGACAGAAGGGAGCUUGCUCCCGGAAGUCAGCGGCGGACGGGUGAGUAACACGUGGGCAACCUGCCUGUAAGACUGGGAUAACUUCGGGAAACCGGAGCUAAUACCGGAUAGGUUCUUCCUCCGCAUGGGGGAAGAUGGAAAGACGGUUUCGGCUGUCACUUACAGAUGGGCCUGCGGCGCAUUAGCUAGUUGGUGGGGUAAUGGCCCACCAAGGCGACGAUGCGUAGCCGACCUGGGAGGGGGAUCGGCCACACUGGGACUGAGACACGGCCCAGACUCCUACGGGAGGCAGCAGUAGGGAAUCUUCCGCAAUGGACGAAAGUCUGACGGAGCAACGCCGCGUGAGCGAAGAAGGCCUUCGGGUCGUAAAGCUCUGUUGUUAGGGAAGAACAAGUGCCAGAGUAACUGCUGGCACCUUGACGGUACCUGACCAGAAAGCCACGGCUAACUACGUGCCAGCCGCCGCCGUAA
rnacentral:rRNA from 1 species